UAUCAUAGAGUAUUCUCCCUCAAACAGUUUGAAGGUUAGAGAUCCCUUGUUGCGCAUUCACUUGCCUCUAUGGCUAAAUGGCUUAACCCCAACUAUGCCGUGGACACCCUCAUUUUGGAGUGACUUUUGACAUAAUCAAAGAUCAAGGACUUAACAACAAGACAACUAUGAUGCCUCGGGUCAAAGGACUACUUUGCAUUAUCCCAACCAUGAGUUCUCAUGUGACAUGAAUAUGAGAACUCUUCGUUGAUCAUGUUCAGUGAACUCAUUCUCUAUUGAGCACCUAUGUA
rnacentral:lncRNA from 1 species